rnacentral:lncRNA from 1 species
UUCCGGCAAUGCAAUGUGGUUAUACUCUCAUGUCGAUCUGAAUGAAUCAUCCUUUCCACAGAAGUCAAUCUUUGCCUGCUAGGCAAGAGUAUAGCAAGUUACAAAUUUUGUCUUGGUAGGACAUGUCUUUUUAUUACUAUUAAAUUGAAGUAGUUAAUGGUGGGGUUACCAUNAUCCUUUUUGUGGUAAUGAAUAUAUGUAUGUUCCUAAAAAAAGCAAUUUGUCAAUCCAAUGGUUUAAAUCAAGAAUCACAAGGACGGAAAAACCAGAAAAGCUAAGGCAAAGGCGUGCCUUUUUGCUGCAGUUUCAC